UACGUAGGGACCGAGCGUUGUCCGGAAUCAUUGGGCGUAAAGAGCGUGUAGGCGGCUUGUUAAGUCUUGCGUGAAAUCUCGGGGCUCAACCCCGAGCGGUCGUGAGAAACUGGCAGGCUAGAGUGCGGGAGAGGAGAGUGGAAUUCCUGGUGUAGCGGUGAAAUGCGCAGAUAUCAGGAGGAACACCGGUGGCGAAGGCGGGUCUCUGGGCCGUAACUGACGCUGAGGAGCGAAAGCGUGGGGAGCAAACAGG
rnacentral:rRNA from 1 species